rnacentral:rRNA from 1 species
ACUGCUCAGUAACACGUGGCUAACCUGCCCUUGGGACAGGGAUAACCCCGGGAAACUGGGGCUAAUACUUGAUAGGUGAGAACUCCUGGAAUGGAUUCUCGCUGAAAGGGCGUCUAGGUCAUGCUUUUAGGCGUCGCCCAAGGAGGGGGCCGCGGCCGAUCAGGUUGUUGGUGAGGUGACGGCUCACCAAGCCUUUAACCGGUACGGGCCGUGAGAGCGGUAGCCCGGAGAUGGGUACUGAGACAAGGGCCCAGGCCCUACGGGGCGCAGCAGUCGCGAAAACUCACCAAUUCACGAAAGUGUGAGUGGGCCAUCCCGAGUGCCGUCCGCUGAGGAUGGCUUUUCCUUAGUGUACAAAGCUGGGGGAAUAAGGAGAGGGCAAGUCUGGUGUCAGCCGCCGCGGUAAUACCAGCUCUCCGAGUGGUGGGGAUGUUUAUUGGGCCUAAAGCAUUCGUAGCCUGCUGGACAAGUCCUCCGUUAAAUCCAACGAUUCAAUCGUUGGGCCGCGGGGGAUACUGUUCGGCUAGGGGGCGGAAGAGGUCGACGGUAUUCUCGGGGUAGGGGUGAAAUCCUAUAAUCCCGUGAGGACCACCAGUGGCGAAGGCUGUCGGCUAGAACGCGCCCGACGGUGAGGGAUGAAAGCUGGGGGAGCGAACCGGAUUAGAUACCCGGGUAGUCCCAGCCGUAAACGAUGCAGGCUAGGUGUUGGCGCGGCUACGUGCCGCUCCAGUGCCGCAGGGAAGCCGUUAAGCCUGCCGCCUGGGAAGUACGGCCGCAAGGCUGAAACUUAAAGGAAUUGGCGGGGGAGCACCACAAGGGGUGAAGCUUGCGGUUUAAUUGGAGUCAACGCCGGA